CAGUCCUUCCCCCCAAAGCUGGAUUUUGUUGCUGUUGUUUUUUUUAUUAUUUUCUCUGAGUACCUUUUCUAGAGGAUUGGAGAAGAGAGCUGGCUCAGCCAGCAAGGAGUGUCUGAGCCUCCACAACCAGGAGCUGUGGCAACAGGAAUUGCAGUUUUCAGCCUCUGAAGUCUCAGCCAUGACCAUCUCACAUAUGCCUCUCGGAGAAUCUUGCUGCCAGAAUCUUCAACGGAGCUCGUGCAAUUUUCAAAACCUUACAGUUUAGCCAAAUUUGGGUGGUUUCUCACAUGGACAGCAAAAGGUACGUCCAAGCUGCCAUGCCAAUCCCACCCCCCCAGCAACCCACUUGCCAAAUGGUACAUGCCUGCUUCAAAGAGGAAAGUUGGAAAGUAAUCAAUGGAAAGUAAAUUGUAAGAGUCUGACAUGAGCAAAACAAUGUAAUUUCCUCCUCCUCUAUUUUCGCUAAAAUUUGCCAAAGUAAUUCGGCCUGAGGCAGAAUCUCAGCAUGGAAGAAUACCAAACAACGUAAGUCUGAUAAAGAUACGAGCAACUACAACCAAGUUUUAUAUAAUGGGAAGUGUUAGGCAACCACGACUGCUGCCAGCUCCGCCUAUAUAGUAAAUGAGUGAUAUUUUAAUAUCACUAUUAACUCCCCCUUCAAAACUACAAGUGAGACUGCAACGUGAGUCAUAAUAUCCCUGGCAUCAAUUUUGAUUGCAAAGUUGAUGAAAGCAACCGUUCCCAAACCUGUGUGUGAAAACGUAGCUGAAUUAAUCAAAACAUGCAGGAGCUUGUGACAUCAACGUCUGAGCCUGCGAAUCUGCAUUUACAGCUGUGAGACUCUUGCGUGACAUGAUGUGACUGCAGAGAUGCUUGGCUUGUGCUCCUGCUGGCAGCACCUUGUCCCAUCCAGGGAAAAGAGAACAAUAUUCACCAGCAGUUCUUAUCAUAGGACGGAUCUUUCAGAACUCUGUAUACAUCCGUGAUGUAAUAAUACCUGCAGAUCUCCCUGACUGCAGCCAUCCCUAGAAGAUGAAGGGGCCGUGCAUGUCCGUGAGCAGCUGCCCUUGGGGUGAGGGAAAAGAAUCUGCAUUUACUGUCAGAAAAGCAGUUGCAUGCAAAGGCCUUUUGGGGAUUUUAUUCUUUACUGCAGAGGAGAUAUGGGGCCAUGACUUGGGCCUCAUUGUCAGAAAGAACGUCAGUGCCGAAGAAGAUUUGUGCAGAGUGAUACAACUCUGACACUGAACUUCACUGGAAACGUGGUAAGAAUCCAGGCAUGGAAUUCACUCCUGCAUGGUGUCUACUCAGCUGUAAGCCUGAGAGGAGAUGUUUCCAUCAGACACGAGGACCAGGGAGAAUGGUCUGAACAGCAGGAGAGAAGCGGAGUGCAGUGACUUCAUUUGAGGGAAGAGCUGAUACUAGUUGGGAAAUACAAAGAAUCCUUUGUCUCUCACCAUCCUGACUAUUUAAGGGUGAAUUAGCUGCAGAAGGUCAUCAUCAGCUCCUACCAAACCUUGUCUGAUCCCGACCAAUGCCACCUUUUCAAGUGAUGAGCAUCACUAGCCCAAGGCCAUCCACCUGGCUGAAAUUCAGCCAAGGAGAGCAGGUUGAACCGUGGUGGGGAAGAGGGUCUGCUCAAACAGACGUCCAAAGCAUGUGGAACUUUUAGUUCAAGGGCAAGAAAAGAUUUUGACCCAGUUUCAGAUUUGAAGUCCAUCUCCUAAACAAAAGCAGCUGAAGUUUAAAUGAGCCAAUUCUGCAGAUCAUUACGCCGCUAUUACACAACUCCUAAUCCCUGAAGUGGGGAAGAAGUGCCAACGCCAACCCAGGCACAUCUCUGUCAUUUCGGCUGGACUUCCAGCCUUCCCACUGAAGAUUUCAUUCCCUUAAACCAUUCUUGAAGAACGCCAAACACUAAAAUCUCCCAAAUAUUUAUUGUAAUUUCUUUGGCUACACUAUCACAAGUGCCUAAAUUCCCCUUCUCAGUUGGAGAGCUAUCUAGACCAGAGGUCUCCAAAUCUUUCAGCCUAAUAAACAUUACAAAGGCUCGUGAGCCCCUCUGAGUAGUAAGGGAGAGAUUGUUUGCUGCCACAAAAGGAACAAAAAUGACCAGCCAUCCCCUGCUGGCUAUUCUCCUCCCCUAAGAACUUGGUCUAAUCCCCUCCACCAUACAGCCCAUCAAAGACAAUGUGCCAAGGAAUGGGAGAACUGCUGUGCAUGCUGAUUCCCAGCUCGGCAGCGGUUCCCGAGGACCACAGCCAGCCAGCUGCUGCGAGCAGCUCCCUCCGUGCCGCUGUGCCAAGCCAGAAGGUCGCUUUUCAUCCAUCUCUUCCUCUCACGGACUGCCCAAAGGAAACCGUCAGGCUGCUCGCAGCUCUCCCAGGCUCCAGGAGCAGCACAGCUCUUCUCACAGACUCUCUGGCCCCCAGGAGCCCAGCAGACAGAUGGGCUGUGGAGCGGCCGUAGCUCCCACGGCCACACUCGGCCUGUCACCAAGCCAGCCUCAAUGCACCGCGGGUUCAGCCAAGCGUUCUGGGCAGAAUGCAAAGGAUGCAGACCACAGAACACGUUGCUAUCUCUCUUCCAACAUCGAAUGUGCGGCAUCCUCUAGGUGACAAGGUGCGUGGUGCUGACAAGCCAUGCAGGGAACACGAGCACAAGAAGGGAGGGCGGCGAGCCAGAAGCACGGGGCUACGGCAGCUCUCAAAUGCUGUGCCAAGGUCAGCCCUGGAAGCACCGCUGUCUCUAAAAGAAGCCAUAAUUGAGAAGGUAACAUUAUAAAGCUAUAAAAUGAAGUUUUACUGCUGCUGACUAGCUGGGACAUGCAGAACAUGUGUUGCAGGGAACAUAGCAUAAUUUUAUUAGUGAAGACAAAGCCAUUCAUGCAGACUGGCCCAAAUGGGGUGGGCUGAAUUAAGAGAACAAUAGCAGUUCAUCAGAUGGCCCUUCCUUUCACAUAUGUCUUCAACUUACUACCCUAGCAAAUACUACGAGCAGCUUGGAAAUAUAUUUUCAUGCGAAGAGCCUCACGUUAUUAACACAUUAGAUUAAAAUCAAAAUAAUUGAGAACGUAACGUAUUCCUGAUGCUGUUCAUUAAAUGGCUAAAUCAAAACCAUCAGAACCCAGCCAGCCUCCUCCUCUUUUGGAAUCACACUCGUGAUCAAUGACUGUUUGCACGAUUUAGCCCAAGCCAGCACUUUGCAGCACUGCUAAAACCACCCCGGACGGCCUUUCAGCACCAAACACACUGCUCACAGCCCCAGCACGUGAGUCACAGGAUUGCUGCAGACCCCUUAAGCUGAUCAGGGGAAGAUGUGCUGAGAUUGAGACCAAUCUGAAAGGAAAAAAAACACGUUGCGUCAGAACUUAAUGCUAACCAUGUUUCAGAUUUGCUCAUGGAUUCCAGUUCCCCAAAUAACAAAACAAUAGACACCAAAGAGGAAAAGUGGAAACUGCUGCUUGGGGAAGCUUGCCACAACACGUUGGCUGCAAGUGUGCUGGGACAUAAAUCCUGCUCCUGCAGGGCUGGGGCUCAGCGCUCCAAGGGCUCUGCACGCAUUAAAGGCAAGGCUGGCCUCCCCCUCCGAAGCUGCCUGUUGCCUGUCCACCUCCUUCCUUCUUUCAUUUCCAGCCAUGUCCGGCUGAUGCACAGUAUUUAUGCUGCUUGGCUACCCCAGGGUGGGGGAGAUGAGAACAGACGAGCAGAAGAGAUGGGACGGCAUGGAGAUGGCAGCAGGGAGCGCAGGGCUUGGGAAGGACAAGCUCCGAAAGCUGUGCAGUGGGCUCUGGCCCCGAAUGUCCUUGCAACGGGGAUCCCUGCAGCGUCUUUAGGAUCCAGAGUUGCCCUCCUGCUGUUUUAAGCCACUUUUUAAGACUUGUUUUGCAAAACGGCUGAGUAGGUGAGCAGAGACGGCCCAGCUCUGAGUGCAGUGUGAGGAACAGCCUGCACGCUGCUGAUGGCUGAAAUUACAGACUUGCCACAGGACACCAGAAAAACGAUAAAGCAGCGGAACCCCAGCUUAACCCUUGUCAAAGAAUCCCUAAUCUUCUCCAAGAUUAGACUUUUGUUCUUCCUAACCGCCAGCCCUACAAACGCCACCCAGACUGCAGGGGGCCAGGCUCACAAACACAAAUUAAUUACAUCAGCUGUAAUUCACACCUCCGGCUGCUUUUGAAGCAACUUGUUAAGCUCUUUUGAAUAAGAGUCUGGGAAAAAGAAAUAGUAACGUUAUCAAACUGAAAUACAGAUUUCUGUUCUGGAAAGAGAACUACGCAGAUUAACUGCGAUAUCCCAAUGGGUGAGUUCAAGCAGACGCAGUUGUUCCAGUGCUGCUCGAUGUCCCUGAGUUCACUGAGCCCAACCGGAACGCUCUGGGAUCUGCCAUGCCAGCAAUAAAACGGCCAUAAAGAGAGCUCAGCUCAUUGCUGCACCAAGCCACAAAGCAGAUGACAAUCCAGACUCCUUCUCCCCCACAGCUGCAGAUGGACGGGGCAAACCACGCCAAAAUGAAGCUGAACCUUCACCAAGACACUGCUCCUCCAGGGCUGGAAAAACCCGUACCCUAAUGGAAAUUAUAACAUUCCCUCCCUGCAGCUUGGAGAGAGGGGACCUCCAACCACCACCACUGUGCAAACAAUAACUGAGAAGUGCUUAAGCUCAGGCAACCUUUGCAAUAUGCCCCUGAGGCAAGCAAUGUGAUGCUGCCUGCAAAUCUCCAGAGAGAGACCUCUGCAUCACCACCUCGACCAGCAGCAGCAGGCUUAUGGAUAGAACAGCAGAGAACUGUGCUGCUGUUCCCAUUGCUUAGCACUCCAUUGGGAAACUUGUAAAGGCUUAGUCAGUCCCAUGCUGGUCCUGCCCAGCUUUCAAGGGAGAAACACAAACCCGUCUUCCUAUAAUUUCACUGCAAAGAAAUUGCAGAGUGGCUCAGUUUACUCUCGUAGGAGAAUUCUCCAUCCUACACAUGGUGACUGCUGCAGCAAGGAGCAAACUGCAGAAACCAUGCUGAUCUGGAUCCUGACUCAUGCAGUGAACUGCUGCAGCAGCAGCAGCAGCAUCUGAAGCGAUGCUCCAGUCUUCUCCCCACCUCCUUCCCCUCUGCUGCCACAACCUGGGCAACUAAAGACAAGAGAAAGCCACCAGCAGCUUAACCAUGGAGGGGUGAAACCUUGCAGUAUAUCAGAUUAUCACUACCCGGAGGCUGAUGAGAGAGAUAGCGGCCCUAAGCUCAUCCCACUGGAAUGGCCAACAGAUACAGCUUGGAAAAACAAGCAAGCUGCAAGCUUUCGGCCCCUCAGAUUACUCUCCUGCUCUGCAAAUGGAGAAACAAACUAAAAGUCAAAGAAAAGAAAGGCUGAGAACAAACGUUCCAAGUUAAAUAUAUUAAUCAAUUAGAUAAUUAGGGGGGGAAAGUUGAUGGGUGCCCCCACAGAGGAUGGGAGAGGUUAGCAGGAAGAGAUGUGGUCGAGCUGCCAAAGACAGCCGUCCUCUGCAGAACACCGAGGCUACACGGCGGCGAAGCGUUAGGAUAUGCCAGAAAACAAACAUCCUUCCUUGAAUUCAGCAUUUUUAGGAUCAGACAGACGCAGUUCCAGGCCCAUCUUUGGAGGUUCUCCACCAGGAAUGAGAGCCGCAAGGUCAGAGACCCAUCUGCCGCUGCGCAAAACCCAACAGAAUCACCCACCUCUCUGCAGAACCCACCUCCAAACCCUGAGACCAUCGCGGUCACAACAACGCUGCCGCUACUACUGAAGGCCAAAAUCUUUCUUUGCAUAGCCCGGAAAGAAUGCCAGCAAUUCCAAUGGCAGGAAUCUCCCUGCCUGCCCUGCAGUCUCCUGCAGAUUUUCGCAGCGGUCCCUCCACGCUGCCUAAUUCCACCUCCGUGCUCCACACAAGAGUUAUUCCAAGCAUUUUCAGCCCGCGUUGUUGUGUGUCGAGGUAGAGCUGGGUGUGAAGAAAGCGUUCAUUUAGUUAACUCUGUUUUACUCAGCAAGUGGAACAAAUUUCAUCACCCCCUACAAGUCCAUUAUGUAUUCUAUUUAUACCACAAACAUUUGGUGCACAAUUCAGGAACAGCAGGAACAGGUGAUGUAAUGCACUGUACAAACAACAUUCUAUUCAUACAGUGGGAAAAUAAAGUGCAUUCUCUUGGUUUCUUU